rnacentral:lncRNA from 10 species
CUUUAUAUUUUUCCCCAGAGAUUAAAAAAAAUUUACAUUGUAUGUAUUUUAUUUUGCAGAAGUGCUUUUAUUCACUGCUACGUUCCAGAGUCUAGAAUGAAUCAUUUAGCCUGUUUACAUUUAAGGUUAAUAUUGUUAUGUGUGAAUUUGGUCCUGCCAUUAUGAUGCCAGCUGGUUAUUUUACCCAUUAGUUGAUGCAGCUUCUUCAUAGUGUCAAUGUUCUUUACAAUUUGGUAUGUUUUUGUAGUGGCUGGUACUGGUUUUUCAUUUCCAUAUUCAGUGCUUCCUUCAGGAGCUCUUGUAAGGCAGGCCUGUUGGUGACAGCAUCCCUCAGCAUUUGCUUGUCUGUAGAGGAUUUUAUUUAUCCUUCACUUAUGAAGCUUAGUUUGGCUGGAUAUGAAAUUCUGGGUUGAAAAUUCUUUUGUUUAAGAAUGCUGAAUUUUGGCCCCCACUCUUUUCUGGCUUGCAGGGUUUCUACAGAGAGAUCUGCUGUUAGUCUGAUGGGCUUCCCUUUGUGGAUAA